UUCUCACAAUUGCCAAAAGUCUAUGUCCCAUCCUCUUUUCUCUUCCUUCCCUUCUCCUCUGCCGCUGCUGCUUUAGCGCCGAGGAUUCUUUUAGCAUGGGACAGGUCUUCUAAUCUGUGUUAUCAAGAUUUGAGCAAGCACUGUCUCCAUCGCAUCUCUAUUCAGCUUGAAUGACCUAGAUGUUAGGGUUGAAAGGAACGGAGGAUUUCUUAUUCUAUGCACAAAUCUCAGAACGCUUCUUAAAUUGUUCUGAUGCUAUUAAAGCCAAGGACGGUAUGUUUUGCUAUCUUUGUAAAGGAUUAUUGAGCAAUAGUUGUUGUUAAAAAGCUUAUUGUGUCAUCUGAUAAGUAGAACUCAAAAAAAUUCCAUACUGAGCUUGACCUAUUAUCAAAGAUUAAAGCAUGCCCAUUUGCCCAAUCUGCAUAGCUAUUGUGAAGAAGGUGGAGAAAGGCUUACGGUUUGAGUUCAUGGCUCUUGGUUCCUUGCACCAACAUCAUCAUGUGAAGAACAAGGCACUAAAAGAAUAGCUAGACUUAUGUUUAUUUAAUAUUAAUUUUCUUAUUAUAAAUUAAAAUUUUUUAAUGAUUAUAUUUGUUUAUUUAAUUUGUUAGUGAUAAUAUUUUAAUAUUUAAAUGUUA